rnacentral:rRNA from 1 species
UACAGAGGGUGCGAGCGUUAAUCGGAAUUACUGGGCGUAAAGCGCACGUAGUCGGCUUUGCAAGUCGGGUGUGAAAUCCCCGGGCUCAACCUGGGAACUGCAUCCGAGACUGCAUUGCUAGAGUAUGGGAGAGGGAAGCGGAGUUUCUGGUGUAGCAGUGAAAUGCGUAGAUAUCAGAAGGAACAUCAGUGGCGAAGGCGGCUUCCUGGACCAAUAUUGACGAUCAGGUGCGAAAGCGUGGGGAGCAAACAGG